GAAAUGCGAUAAGUAAUGUGAAUUGCAGAAUUCAGUGAAUCAUCGAAUCUUUGAACGCACCUUGCGCUCCUUGGUAUUCCUUGGAGCAUGCCUGUUUCAGUAUCAUGAAAUCUUCAAAGUAAAUCUUUUGUUAACUCAAUUGGUUUCUACUUUGGUAUUGGAGGUCUUUGCAGCUUCACACCUGCUCCUCUUUGUUCAUUAGCUGGAUCUCAGUGUUAUGCUUGGUUCCACUCGGCGUGAUAAGUUAUCUAUCGCUGAGGACACUGUAAAAGGUGGCCAAGGUAAAUGCAGAUGAACCGCUUCUAAUAGUCCAUUGACUUGGACAAUACUUUUAUGAUCUGAUCUCAAAUCAGGUAGGACUACCCGCUGAACUUAAGC
rnacentral:misc_RNA from 1 species